GUGAGGAAUAUUGGUCAAUGGACGAGAGUCUGAACCAGCCAAGUCGCGUGAAGGAAGACGGUUCUAUGAAUUGUAAACUUCUUUUGUGCAGGAAUAAAGUGGGUUACGUGUAACCUUUUGUAUGUACUGUACGAAUAAGGAUCGGCUAACUCCGUGCCAGCAGCCGCGGUAAUACGGAGGAUCCGAGCGUUAUCCGGAUUUAUUGGGUUUAAAGGGUGCGUAGGUGGAUUGAUAAGUCAGCGGUGAAAGUUUGCAGCUUAACUGUAAAAUUGCCGUUGAUACUGUCGGUCUUGAGUGCAAAUGAGGUAGGCGGAAUGUGUUGUGUAGCGGUGAAAUGCUUAGAUAUAACACAGAACUCCGAUUGCGAAGGCAGCUUACUGGGAUGCAACUGACACUGAUGCACGAAAGCGUGGGUAUCAAACAGGAUUAGAAACCCCGGUAGUCC
rnacentral:rRNA from 1 species